ensembl:lncRNA
GAGAAACGUUGGAAUAUGUUUGUUUCUUUCUUUGGAGCCUUGAGAGAGUUGAUGCAUUUUUUAUGAUUUUAAUGUAUAUAAAUUUGGAUUCCUACCUCAGAUAUUUGGACAAUUUUGUUCUUUUUCUGUGACUAUGCUCCUUCUGCGUCCGACACAGGACUCUGCAGACAAACACAUUGUCAAAGUCAUCUGAUAAGAAAUCCCAUCUGCAGCGUUUAUCUUCAGUCUACUUCAGCUGUGAUAUGAAUGAACUGAAUCUGUUGUAAAUAAUGCUGUUCUUAGUUUUACUGUUUAGGGUACAAUGAAGAAUGUGGAGCUCCAGAGCUCUCCUCCUCUCAGUACUAACUGUGAAUCUCUUCUGUGCUGCAGUGGGUCAAAGUAACUUCACUAUGAGUGAAGAACAGGAGGUCUACCAAGCUGAGGAAAAAAGUAACAUCACAAUAACAUGGCUGCUCCAUUUAGACACCAACAGGCCUCCUGACUUCCUGCAAAUAGACCUAAUGAAUGUGAAAAGGAAGACACAGGUUUUCUUCUAUAACAGCAAGACUGGCACUGAGGUGUAUCCAGAUGAGAACUACAGAGGACGACUGCAGUGUGAUCCACAGCUCGCCAGGAAAGGACGACUUGAAUGUCUCUUAACUGAUCUCAGGCUCAACGACACGGGGAUGUAUCACUGCAUCGUUGUCCUUAACGAAGAAGUUAUUUCCAAAACCUGUGACCUCAGUGUUACAGCAACUUUUAACAAACCUGUGGAAGUGACAUCAAAACCAGCGAACUCUAAGAGGAUCGGCCUCCACGCAGCUCUGGCUUUGUUUGCAGUGGUGAUCAUAGCGCUGCCACUGCGUUACCUGUCUGUAACAUUUUGUAAAUAAUAUUAUUUGUAUUAAUGUGAAGUAGCAGCCCAUUACAGAUUACUCCUGAGGUCACCUCUGACUGUAAUGAGACUAGGGAUGGGUAUCGUUUAGGUUUUAUCCGAUACCGGUGCCAAAUCAGUACUUUUGAAACGGUGCCGGUGCUCAAACCGGUGCUUAAAGAAUGGAGAACACAAAAUUGGUCCAAAAACCUCUCAUGUUCAGCUGUUUUUUUGGAAAAAGAUAACAAUGUUAGUCUUUUCUGCAGCUAUAGAGGAUUUAUGGCAUCACUCUUGGCUGGAAGCAGUGCUUAAACAAUGGAAAAAACACAAACUUUGUCUAAAAACCUCUCAUGUUUAACUGUUUCCCACUUUUUCUUUGGUCAUUUUAGCCUUUUUAGCCAGGGUGAAGGGAGUAUCUGCCAUCAAACAAGAAGACAGCCGCAUGUAGCUAUGAUGAUGUUUGCUAGUUCACUUUACAUGCAUUAAUGUAAUAACGUGGUUAGCCUACUCAACGUAAAUUACACACGAACAACAUUAAGCUACUCACGCAGAAAAGAACGGCUGCUGCUGCCAUCAUCAUCCGUCAUCAUUUCUGCUACACUGACAGGGCUAGGGGCCAGGACUCUCCUCUUCGGGUUUUUGGGGGAUGUUGCUAACUCCGGGUCCGAUAACAGGCACCACACCUGCAGUAGAUGUGUGAGGUCUCGCAGCAAGCUAUCAAAUACAGUGCAUUUCUCGGCUUUUAAAAAAAACGCUAUGCGUCGCCAGGUGUUUCAUCGGAUUUGAGGUGUUACCUCCUUUGACAGUAUCACAGUAUCCUUGGACAGUCUCGGUCGUUGCGUCCUUGGGCAAGACACUUCACCCGUUGCCUACUGCUGGUGGUCAGAGGGCCCGGUGGCGCCAGUGUCCGGCAUCCUCGCCUCUGUCAGUGCGCCCCAGGGUGGCUGUGGCUACAAUGUAGCUUGCCAUCACCAGUGUGUGAAUGUGUGUGUGAAUGGGUGGAUGACUGGAUAUGUAAAGCGCUUUGGGGUCCUUAGGGACUAGUAAAGCGCUAUAUAAAUACAGGCCAUUUAUCAGCUUAAAGCACUUGUUGCAGGCUGCUGAGUUUGCAUCUUUUGCUGUGAAGUACAGCCAGACUUUUGACCGCUUCGCCUUGGGCAUUUUUAAUCUGUAGCUCUGCUCUAAAAGAAUGUACGUACCUGGACCCGCCUACUAUCCUCGGAAACGUAAAAUGAUUGGCUAGAAUCUAAAGUGUAUCACAGCUCUGGAAAAAAAAGCACCGAAAUAAAGCACCGAAAUGUGCACUGCUUUUCGAUCUGGUUACUACCGUUUAUGUCAGAACUGGUACCCAUCCCUAAAUGAGACUGCUGCCAAUGUUUUUCAAAUUCCUCAGAGCUGUGCCACAGAGCAGUGCACAUUUACACCACACCCACUCUUCUACAAUACUAUGAAAAAGUCUUGAGCCGCCGAUCUCUUUACAUUUCGAAUUCCAGGAGUCAGAUGUUCUUGUAAGUCUUGAAAGUCCAGUUCUUAUGCCUGACCAAUUUUUUCAGAAGUCUUUCCAGACAAAAGGUUAAACUCCAAGUAAUGCAUAAAAAACAAAGUUUGCCUUUUUGACAAUCUUUUAAUUAUUACUACCUUCUUUAAAAAAAAAAAAAAAAAAAAUGUUAAUUCACUUCAACAAAUGGAGAACAACAACAGAAGGAUAUGCUAACUCCAGCUAUAAAGCUUUAAAAAAUUUUCAUCCAGCACUUUGUUAUCAGACUUUGAUAUUGUCAUAUUUAGCACAUGUGUGGCUAAUUAACUCAUUAACUAAUUAGCCCUCAUGUGUGUCUGUUUCUGCUCCUGUUUACAAACCAUAUGAAGCACUUUAGACUUUAUGAAGGUUUAUGUGUGCGUCUAUUUCAAAGGUCAACAUGGCCAAAAGACUUUGCUGUUGACACUUUGCACACAAAUUGGUGUGUUGAAGAACACCAAUCAAUGAGUCGACCAAUCAGUGUUUACCCAUAGUUGACCUUAAGAAGCUGCUUUUUAAACAUUUUUUUUUAUUUGAGAUACCCAGAAUACAAGAUCAGUAAAGUUGAUUUAAUGUUUAAAAUUUUAAAUCUCUUCAUUAGAUAUGGGGCAGUGUCAUAUGAUGUUUAAGAGUGGGCACUUUAAAGUUAUCUCUGACUAGGAUUUUAGAUUUUGUUAAGCAAAACAACAAAAAGAAAGUCUGGCUUUGUUGAACCUGGUCCACAGAAUGAUAUCUCUCAGGACUUAAUUUCAGUUUUACAUCUCUUUGCUGUUUCACUGUGAGGCUUUGAAAAUUUAAGGUCCAGAGUUUACGGGGGUUAACUCAGACGUACCUCAGUUUCAGCCAUUUGGGUUUCUCUUUUUGAGUGACCUCAGUCUCAUUGACAAAGAAGUUGAUGUGGAGUGGAGAUGGUGUGUGGCUGCAAAGUGGACAGACUCUGAGAGCAGUAUUAGUAUAGUAUUAAUAUUUUAAUUUUAUGUUAGGUAUGUUAAUAAAUAAAAAAAAGGACAUUGGUGCUUUUUUCUGCAUAGAAAUGUCCACAAUAAGUCUUUAAUUAGAACAAAAAUGUAAUUUAAAACAGUUUUGUACAAUAAAUAUUUCUUUUAAAUUUGGUAACAAAGAAGGAAUUUAUUAAUGUUGAAGAAUGUUAAGCAUACAGCUUCAUGCUAAUUUUGUAUAUUCAUGUUUCUGCUAUAUUCAAUAAACAUUUAAACACAUUAAGUUUUUUGUUUUUUUAAACAAAUGCUUAUGUUAAGUGACGGCUGUGUGCAAACAGGAAUAGGACCCAAGGUGCAGACUCCAGAUACAAACUUAAACCGAAACAGCUUUAAUAUUAUUAAUUAUUAAUAUUAAUAUCAACUGGAAAAAACUGGAAAAACUGGAAAAAAGUCAAAAUAAACUAACACCGGCAGACUGACAAAACACACAGCAAAAUAAACGGUAGAUCGCGAUACGGACACAGAGAAACACAGGGCUUAAAUACACAGAGGGAGC